rnacentral:rRNA from 1 species
GACGAACGCUGCGGCGUGCCUAAUACAUGCAAGUAGAACGCUGAAGGAGGAGCUUGCUUUCUGAUGAGUUGCGAACGGGUGAGUAACGCGUAGGUAACCUGCCUGGUAGCGGGGGAUAACUAUUGGAAACGAUAGCUAAUACCGCAUAACAUUGACUAUUGCAUGAUAGUCAAUUAAAAGGUGCAAUUGCACCACUACCAGAUGGACCUGCGUUGUAUUAGCUAGUUGGUGGGGUAACGGCUCACCAAGGCGACGAUACAUAGCCGACCUGAGAGGGUGAUCGGCCACACUGGGACUGAGACACGGCCCAGACUCCUACGGGAGGCAGCAGUAGGGAAUCUUCGGCAAUGGACGGAAGUCUGACCGAGCAACGCCGCGUGAGUGAAGAAGGUUUUCGGAUCGUAAAGCUCUGUUGUAAGAGAAGAACGAGUGUGAGAGUGGAAAGUUCACACUGUGACGUAUCUACCAGAAAGGAC